rnacentral:pre_miRNA from 1 species
GGGGACUGGCUGGGGGUUAGCCUGCGAUGAGCUGCCGCUGCCCAUUGCUCCCCUGGUUGCAAGUCUCGUGGGGACCCUUAGAGUUCAGGAGA